GAGGUGCAGCUGGUGGAGUCUGGGGGAGGCUUGGUAAAGCCUGGGGGGUCCCUUAGACUCUCCUGUGCAGCCUCUGGAUUCACUUUCAGUAACGCCUGGAUGAGCUGGGUCCGCCAGGCUCCAGGGAAGGGGCUGGAGUGGGUUGGCCGUAUUAAAAGCAAAACUGAUGGUGGGACAACAGACUACGCUGCACCCGUGAAAGGCAGAUUCACCAUCUCAAGAGAUGAUUCAAAAAACACGCUGUAUCUGCAAAUGAACAGCCUGAAAACCGAGGACACAGCCGUGUAUUACUGUACCACACUGGGGCCAGGGAACCCUGGUCACCGUCUCCUCA
rnacentral:lncRNA from 1 species